UUUUACUUUGAUGGUUAGCA
rnacentral:siRNA from 1 species